CAGAUUGCCCUGUACAUGUUCCAGACCAGGGACCGCCGAGAGAGUUAUGGAUUAUAGGGGCUACACUGGGACCAUUUCUUGCUGUUAUCAUCAUUUCCCUUGUUGCAGCUUAUUGUCUCAAGAGAAAGAGACCACGCAUCAAGGAGAUGAAUGCGGCUGGGAAUCCAAUAUAUCAAGAUGAUUGAUGCAAAUCUCCGUAGAAAAGUAUUCAAUGAUUUAAAUUUUUGCUAUAUGUACUAGACAUCUAGACAUUAUAUAAUGUACGCAAUGAAAACCGUAAGAGUCUAGAUAUGAAGGACAGAAACUUUUGAUUGAUUAUACAUAUACUUUCAAUCUUUCAGUUGUAUAAGAAAUAAGAGACCAAAUAUAUUUUAGUUUGAUUUCUUGUUA